UUGAUCUCCCCGUGCAGAAGCUGGGAUAAUACCAUAANACGAGAAGACCCUAUGGAGCUUUAGACAUACCAGGUUUACGUCACUGCCCCCUAGAUAAAGGAGUGAACUAAUUAUAUACCUUGAAAAUGUUUUUGGUUGGGGCGACCACGGGAAAAGAAAUAACUCCCACGGCGAAGAAGUACAAACUUUUAAAGCUAAGACAAUCAAGUCUAAGCCAUAGAAAUUCUAACAAAUGAUCCGGCUUGCCGAUCAACGAAACGAGUUACCCUAGGGAUAACAGCGCAAUCCCCUUUAAGAGACCUUAUCAGCAAGGGGGUUUACGACCUCGAUGUUGGAUCAGGACAUCCUAAUGGUGCAGCCGCUAUUAAGGGUUCGUUUGUUCAACGAUUAAAGUCCUACGUGAUCUGAG
rnacentral:rRNA from 1 species